UGUGAAGCAGGGAGUAAGGCUGCGUACAUUGGCCCCUCCCAGACCUUGCAGUAAUGGGUGCCUCGUGCACUGGGACGCUCUUUUGCUUUUCAUUAAACACAAC